CCGUUGGUGAACCAGCGGAGGGAUCAUUACCGAGUUUACAACUCCCAAACCCAAUGUGAACCAUACCAAACUGUUGCCUCGGCGGGGUCACGCCCCGGGUGCGUCGCAGCCCCGGAACCAGGCGCCCGCCGGAGGGACCAACCAAACUCUUUCUGUAGUCCCCUCGCGGACGUUAUUUUUACAGCUCUGAGCAAAAAUUCAAAAUGAAUCAAAACUUUCAACAACGGAUCUCUUGGUUCUG
rnacentral:misc_RNA from 1 species